rnacentral:lncRNA from 1 species
CAUGGGGUGUAAAGGGACUUUAUAUCCCAUGGACAACCACUUAUAUAUCUUUCAAUGAAAAUGAUCCAGAAAUAUUUAAAACUUGUGUUUUAUCAAUUGUUUAUAGUAUUUCGACUUGUAAACUAUUAAACAAACUGGACAAGGUGAAUCUGUUCACAACCUGAAAUACUUACACAAAUAUAAGUGAACAUAUUAUUGAGAGUUCAUGAAAGUGGGUGUGCAUGGGAUGAAAAGGGACUUCUCAUCCCAUGGACAUCCACUUAUAUAUCUCUCAGUGAAAAUGAUCCAGAAAUACUUAAAACUACCAAACAAACUGAAAAAGAUGGAUCUGUUCACACCCUGAAAUACUUACUCAAAUAUAAGUGAACAUAUUAUUAAAAGUUCAUGAAAGUGGUUGUGCAUGGGGUGAAAAGGGACUUCUCAUCCCAUGGACAACCACUUAUAUAUCUUUCAAUGAAAAUGAUCCAGAAAUAUUUAAAACUUGUGUUUUAUCAAUUGUUUAUAGUAUUUCGACUUGUAAACUAUUAAACAAACUGGACAAGGUGAAUCUGUUCACAACCUGAAAUACUUACACAAAUAUAAGUGAACAUAUUAUUGAGAGUUCAUGAAAGUGGGUGUGCAUGGGAUGAAAAGGGACUUCUCAUCCCAUGGACAUCCACUUAUAUAUCUCUCAGUGAAAAUGAUCCAGAAAUACUGAAAACUACCAAACACACUGGACGAGAUGGAUCUGUUCACAACCUGAAAUACUUACUCAAAUAUAAGUGAACAUAUUAUUGAAAGUUCAUGAAAGUGGGUGUGCAUGGGAUGAAAAGGGACUUCUCGUUCCAUGGACAUCCACUUAUAUAUCUUUCAAUGAAAAUGAUCCAGAAAUAUUUAAAACUUGUGUUUUAUCAAUUGUUUAUAGUAUUUCUACUUGUAAACUAUUAAACAAACUGCACAAGAUGGAUCCGUUCACCCACAACAUAAAACACUUACUCAAAUAUAGGUGAACAUAUUAUUGAAAGUUCAUGAAAGUGGGUGUGCAUGGGAUGAAAAGGGACUUCUCGUCCCAUGGACAUCCACUUAUAUAUCUUUCAGUGAAAAUGAACCAGAAAUACUUGACACUUGUGUUUUAUCAAUUAUAAUAUUUCUACUUGAAAAAGGCCAAACAAACUGCACAAGAUGGAUCUGUUCACUCACAACAUGAAACACUCAAAUAUAUAUGAACAUAUUAUUAAAAGUUCAUGAAAGUGGUUGUGCAUGGGGUGUAAAGGGACUUUAUAUUCCAUGGACAACCACUUAUAUAUCUUUCAAUGAAAAUGAUCCAGAAAUAUUUAAAACUUGUGUUUUAUCAAUUGUUUAAAGUAUUUCUACUUGUAAACUAUUAAACAAACUGCACAAGAUGGAUCUAUUCACUCACAACAUGAAAUACUUACUCAAAUAUAUGUGAACUUAUUAUUGAAAAUUCAUGAAAGUGGGUGUGCAUGGGAUGAAAAGGGACUUCUCGUCCCAUGGACAUCCACUUAUAUAUCUUUCAAUGAAAAUGAUCCAGAAAUAUUUAAAACUUGUGUUUUAUCAAUUGUUUAAAGUAUUUCUACUUGUAAACUAUUAAACAAACUGCACAAGAUGGAUCUAUUCACUCACAACAUGAAAUACUUACUCAAAUAUAUGUGAGCUUAUUAUUGAAAAUUCAUGAAAGUGGGUGUGCAUGGGAUGAAAAGGGACUUCUCAUCCCAUGGACAUCCACUUAUAUAUCGCUCAGUGAAAAUGAUCCAGAAAUACAGAAAACUACCAAACACACUGGACGAGAUGGAUCUGUUCACAACCUGAAAUACUUACUCAAAUAUAAGUGAACAUAUUAUUAAAAGUUCAUGAAAGUGGUUGUGCAUGGGGUGUAAAGGGACUUUAUAUCCCAUGGACAACCACUUAUAUAUCUUUCAAUGAAAAUGAUCCAGAAAUAUUUAAAACUUGUGUUUUAUCAAUUGUUUAUAGUAUUUCGACUUGUAAACUAUUAAACAAACUGGACAAGGUGAAUCUGUUCACAACCUGAAAUACUUACUCAAAUAUAAGUGAACAUAUUAUUGAGAGUUCAUGAAAGUGGGUGUGCAUGGGAUGAAAAGGGACUUCUCGUUCCAUGGACAUCCACUUAUAUAUCUUUCAGUGAAAAUGAACUAGAAAUUCUGGGAACUUGUGUUUUAUCAAUUAUAAUAUUUCUACUUGAAAAAGGCCAAACAAACUGCACAAGAUGGAUCAGUUCACUCACAACAUGAAAUACUUACUCAAAUAUAUGUGAACUUAUUAUUAAAAGUUCAUGAAAGUGGUUGUGCAUGGGGUGAAAAGGGACUUCUCAUCCCAUGGACAACCACUUAUAUAUCUUUCAAUGAAAAUGAUCCAGAAAUAUUUAAAACUUGUGUUUUAUCAAUUGUUUAUAGUAUUUCGACUUGUAAACUAUUAAACAAACUGGAAAAGAUGGAUCUAUUCACUCACAACAUGAAAUACUUACUCAAAUAUAUGUGAACUUAUUAUUGAAAAUUCAUGAAAGUGGGUGUGCAUGGGGUGAAAAGGGACUUUUCAUCCCAUGGACACCCACUUAUAUAUCUUUCAGUGAAAAUGAUCCAAAAAUACUAAUAACUUGUGUUUUAUUAAUUGUUUAUAAAUUUCUACAUGAAAAAAGCCAAACAAACUGCACAAGAUGGAUCUGUUNNNNNNNNNNNNNNNNNNNNNNNNNNNNNNNNNNNNNNNNNNNNNNNNNNNNNNNNNNNNNNNNNNNNNNNNNNNNNNNNNNNNNNNNNNNNNNNNNNNNNNNNNNNNNNNNNNNNNNNNNNNNNNNNNNNNNNNNNNNNNNNNNNNNNNNNNNNNNNNNNNNNNNNNNNNNNNNNNNNNNNNNNNNNNNNNNNNNNNNNNNNNNNNNNNNNNNNNNNNNNNNNNNNNNNNNNNNNNNNNNNNNUUCAAUGAAAAUGAUCCAGAAAUAUUUAAACUUGUGUUUUAUCAAUUAUAAUAUUUCUACUUGAAAAAGGCCAAACAAACUGCACAAGAUGGAUCUGUUCACUCACAACAUGAAAUACUUUCUCAAAUAUAGGUGAACAUAUUAUUGAAAGUUCAUGAAAGUGGGUGUGCAUGGGAUGAAAAGGGACUUCUCGUCCCAUGGACAUCCACUUAUAUAUCUCUCAGUGAAAAUGAUCCAGAAAUACUUAAAACUACCAAACAAACUGAAAAAGAUGGAUCUGUUCACACCCUGAAAUACUUACUCAAAUAUAAGUGAACAUAUUAUUAAAAGUUCAUGAAAGUGGUUGUGCAUGGGGUGUAAAGGGACUUUAUACCCCAUGGACAACCACUUAUAUAUCUUUCAAUGAAAAUGAUCCAGAAAUAUUUAAACUUGUGUUUUAUCAAUUAUAAUAUUUCUACUUGAAAAAGGCCAAACAAACUGCACAAGAUGGAUCUGUUCACUCACAAUAUGAAAUACUUACUCAAAUUUAUGCGAACAUAUUAUUGAAAAUUCAUGAAAGUGGGUGUGCAUGGGGUGAAAAGGGACUUUUCAUCCCAUGGACACCCACUUAUAUAUCUUUCAGUGAAAAUGAUCCAAAAAUACUAAUAACUUGUGUUUUAUUAAUUGUUUAUAAAUUUCUACAUGAAAAAAGCCAAACAAACUGCACAAGAUGGAUCUGUUCACUCACAACAUGAAAUACUUUCUCAAAUAUAGGUGAACAUAUUAUUGAAAGUUCAUGAAAGUGGGUGUGCAUGGGAUGAAAAGGGACUUCUCGUUCCAUGGACAUCCACUUAUAUAUCUUUCAAUGAAAAUGAUCCAGAAAUAUUUAAAACUUGUGUUUUAUCAAUUGUUUAUAGUAUUUCGACUUGUAAACUAUUAAACAAACUGGAAAAGAUGGAUCUAUUCACUCACAACAUGAAAUACUUACUCAAAUAUAUGUGAACUUAUUAUUGAAAAUUCAUGAAAGUGGGUGUGCAUCGGUUGAAAAGAGUCUUUUCGUCCCAUGGACAACCACUUAUAUAUCUUCCAAUGAAAAUGAUCCAGAAAUACUUUAAACUUGUGUUUUAUCAAUUGUUUAUAAUAUUUCCACAUGAUAAAGGUCAAACAAACUGCACAAGAUGGAUCAGUUCAUCCACAACAUAAAACACUUACUCAAAUAUAGGUGAGCAUAUUAUUGAGAGUUCAUGAAAGUGGGUGUGCAUGGGAUGAAAAGGGACUUCUCAUCCCAUGCUCAUCCACUUAUAUAUCUCUCAGUGAAAAUGAUCCAGAAAUACUGAAAACUACCAAACAAACUGGAAAAGAUGGAUCUGUUCACAACCUGAAGUACUUACUCAAAUAUAAGUGAACAUAUUAUUGAAAGUUCAUGAAAGUGGGUGUGCAUGGGAUGAAAAGGGACUUCUUGUCCCAUGGACAUCCACUUAUAUAUCUUUCAGUGAAAAUGAUCCAAAAAUUCUGAAAACCUGUGUUUUAUCAAUUGUGUAUAAUAUUUCUACAUAAAAAAUACCAAACUAACUGCACAAUAUGGAUUUGCAUAUGGAACUUGUUUAAACAACCGUGAAAAUAUUUAUUAUUAAUUCAUAAUGCAGAUUUUCAGUUAUGAAAAAAACGGAUUGGUAUCUUUUGAAAUGAGCUUAUGUAAGUUUUUGUCUUAGAAAGAUAAUGGCAUCGGAAUUUUUUUUUUUCAUGGACACCCACUUAAAUAAUCUUUAUAUUGUCUUAUUUCUGUACUGCUAAAUAAUUGGUUUGUUUUACCUAUACUUUUGGAUAGAAUAGAUUUGUAUAGAACCUUUAGAAUAGAGGAGAGUAAGUCAUUAUUAGAUUGAUCAGUAUUAUGUCUCGAGAAAUUAUAUUCCUUAAUUUAUAUUAUAUUUUAUAACGAAAUGAAAAAUGUUGUUUUUAAACUUUCGAAACUUAAAAACAAAUUCAUUACAUUUGUCUGGUUGUUCUUGUAAUAUGCAUUCUAUCCUAUUAUUUGUAGCAAAAAUGUAUUUAUAAAAAAUUAUGUUAGUAUUUGAAAUGUAUUAGUUCUAAAUUUAAAUUGAUUUAUUCAAAUCUAUAAUAAUUAUAUUAUAUUGUAACGAAAUUUAAAAUUUUUAUUUUUAGUUUAAUUUAAUCUUAAAAAACUAAAACUAAAACAAUUGUAUUAA